UAAUAACUUUUUAGUUAGACCUCAAAUCAGGUAGGACUACCCGCUGAACUUAAGCAUAUCAAUAAGCGGAGGGAAAGAAACUAACAAGGAUUCCCCUAGUAGCGGCGAGCGAACCGGGAAGAGCUCAAAUUUAAAAUCUGGCGUCUUUCAGGCGUCCGAGUUGUAAUCUACAGAAGUGUUUUCCGUGCCGGACCGUGUCCAAGUCCCUUGGAAUAGGGUAUCAAAGAGGGUGACA
rnacentral:rRNA from 1 species